GCAAUAGUUAAGUUGUUACUUUUUUUUUUUUCUUUUUCAUUCCACAACUGUGGUUCAUUGGCAAAGUCAGUAUUUUGAGUAAAAAGAGGCAUGAAAUUCAUAGAAAAACAUGCUCAGAGAUGCCAGGCAAACUGUGUAACUAGUAAUCAUCCUGGUAAUUCAAGCUUUGAAGCCAUUGACAUUAGAAUUCAGGAAAUUUUUCAGUAUCUGUCUUCACACACUUAGUAUGUUUCAUAAGUAUUUUUUAGAACAAACAAUGAUUUUUUCUUCCUUCCUCUGAUUAAGCUCUCCAAAUAGUUAAAAAUUUCUAUUAUAAGUCAACUUACAACAAACAGACUAGCCAUACUUUUUGAGCAAAAAGACAGGUGGUACAUUUGUGGGAAAUGCUUAAACUAAGAAUAUGGAAACUGAAGAAUUACGGGCUUUACAACGGGCAUUAGAUUUAUCUUAUUUUUAUCACUAAUAGCAUCACUGCUGCAUCAUACAUGUCAGGUGUUUGUUAAAAUGAACAUACUGUACAGAGAUCAUACAAGUGAUUUUACAGUGUAAAUAAAGGAAAAAAAUAGCUUGA